ACUGGGGACAUAACUCCCACUGCCCUUUCUGAGUGGCUAUAUCAAUCCGUGUGCUCAGACUAUCUUUUCACCCAGAGGUUGCAGUAAAUCUGACGGACACAUAGAAUGGUUUGACAGUUUGUGGGGCCUCUAGACUUCUUCAUGGAAGAUUUCUCUUUCAGCGAUCUGAGAAAACCUUGGUCUGAGGGGCAGAAGGAAACUCAAAUGGUGGCCAGUGAUAGCCAUGUAACAACUAGACAUCCCUGGACAUUUUUCUGGAUAUAUCUCAAUGAAGAGCAAAGAUGAUAAAGUUCCUACUUUAAUAGAACUGUAAAUAAAACGUUACUAGCUCCUGUAGAACAUUGUCCUCGAAUGCAUCCUACGAAAUAAUGAAUGGAAUUACUCAGAAUCUCAAAUCAAGAAGGAAGCUAUGAGCAGAAUUCAGCCUAGGAGAGUAGAGGAAAGUUUUUGUCCGCCCAAACAGCUGUCUUAGUGAGAUAAACUUUCCUGGCUGGACUCUGCUCCCUCCAAGGCUGCUGCAGCUGAGAGAUCCUAGGACAUCAGACAAGUGAUAAGUUCCCAUCAUGCGCUGAUGCCAAGACACUCCUGAUCAAGACUAAAUAAAGAUAAAAAUCCCUCCUUCCCUCAGGAAGGUGGAGCUAGAACGAAAAUCUGGGAAUAAGACCACAAAAAUCCUCCUUCCCUGCAUUCUAUCAAAAAAAAAAUCCUCACUUUGCUUUUUUGACUUCCCUGUCAUCUCUGAAUUCUUUCCGUAAUGAGAGAAAGCCUACCUUCUGGAAACAUCUUUGGUGAGAACAGGCGGAGAAUUUGGUUAAGCUUCCGCCUCCCUCGAGCUCCAGAGGAGCUGCCUGAUUUCCGCCAUCUUUCUCUCCGCUUUCUUUCUGUCGGUGGCCUUUUCAGACCUACUGCAGCAAGGAGUGGUACUGCGCUGAGCCGCAGAAGCCACAGGACCCUCACCGCGAGAAAUCUCCCGCAAGAGGAUGUAUCAGUCGUGAAUAGAGAGAGGUCUGUCCGCCGACCUCAAGGCAAUUUCCACGGCUUUUCUGGCACACAGGUAAAACACAAAGCCAGAAAACCGCCCCCUCCCCGCGGCUGCCCUUACAGGGGGUAUUAUUGGCCCACCCGUGCCUGACUAUCUUCUCUGCCUCCUUGCCUCACUCCAUUCUUGCCUCUGCGCCUUACUCAGCUGGGAAUGGCGAAAAAGAAACCUGCCCCGCAUUUUGCAGCCUCACCGCUAGGUCUUGCACUUUUUCCUGUGCCUGGCACAUCAGGAAGUUUCCAGCCUGUCUCAACUGGCAUCUGGCGCCGGGAACCACAGGAGCCUUGCCCUCUGGGUUUGCUUUAUCCAUCAUUUGAUUAACUGUCCUUCUCUUCCAUUGUGUGGAAAUCUAAAGCGAGGCCUUACCUACCCUGCAAGAGAAUCCGCAGAGAGGCCCUGCCGCCAUCCCUUCAGGAGCUGCCUCGGGCCACAAGCGGCCUAGGUCUCCGGACGGUGCACUGCGCAGUGGGGCCCAUCGUGGAGGGGCUGCGGCUAGGCAGUCAUCAUUUGCGGCCAUAGCGCGCCUCGCGGUGGUCCGCCCGUCCCCCUAGCCUCCCUGCCACCCCCCACGGACCGCCCCCCACCCCGUCCCGCCCUUUGGGGUAAGGUGGCCUGGGCAGGGAUGGGUAGCGGAGAUGGGAGAUGGCCGUGCCCAGGGGAUACAAGCCCCAGUGCUAACCCAGGCCCCCACUGCGCUUACCUCCUCAGGGUCGAUGGACUGGGAGGGUCCUCACAGGGCCCUCGGGACCUCUGUCACUGUAAGUACAGAUAUAGUGCCUUCUGCUGCCCUACCCCGUCCUGGGCCACCUCGCAUAGCUUGCUGGAAAGAGCUUGGGUGGGGGGAAGGGGGCGGAAUUGAGGCCCAGUGGCACUGCCCACAAAAAGGAACGGAAAAGAGAAAGCUUUACACCACCUCCCUUAAUGGCCAGUGUCUAUUUUCAGAAACUUGUGGCUCAGGCGCUAAAGAAUCCACCUGUCACUUCAGGAGAUGCAGGAGGCACAGGCCCUGGGUCAGGAAGAUCCUUGGAGAAGGAAAUAGCAACCCACUGCCGUAUUCUUGCCUGGGAAAUCCCAUGGAGAGAGGAGCCUGGAGGGUUACAGUCCAUGGGGUCUCAAAGAGUCAGACAGGACUGAGCAACUAAGACUUUCAACACCCUUUUAUUUAAAAGAUGGUUCCCUAACUAAAUAGGUCCUAGAAUGAUGAGGAUGCCAUUCCAGGGGAACAUACCCUGAAACAGAAGGAUUAAUCAUUGAACUUAGAAUCUGUAGAGGAGCCUUCAGGAAAGUUGCUCAUCCUGGGUACCACAGAUUCCAGGAAGGACACGGGCCCCAGGAUGCUGGGGCCAGUGGGACUGCCAUGGUGGGAGGAGAGGGUAGCUAACCCCCAUAUUGGCUAGGGUUGAUUCACUAGAUGGACAGGGAAGCCUGGAACCAGUCCUUGGAAGGAAAGCUAUGACAAACCUACACUGUUUUAAAAAGCAGAGAUGUCACUUUGCAGACAAAGGUCUGUAUAGUCAAAGCCAUUGUUUUUC